UGCGUAGGGUGCAAGCGUUGUCCGGAAUUAUUGGGCGUAAAGAGCUUGUAGGCGGUUUGUCGCGUCUGCUGUGAAAUUUCGGGGCUCAACCCCGAACUUGCAGUGGGUACGGGCAGACUAGAGUGUGGUAGGGGAGACUGGAAUUCCUGGUGUAGCGGUGAAAUGCGCAGAUAUCAGGAGGAACACCGAUGGCGAAGGCAGGUCUCUGGGCCACUACUGACGCUGAGAAGCGAAAGCAUGGGGAGCGAACAGG
rnacentral:rRNA from 1 species